rnacentral:rRNA from 1 species
GGGGAAUAUUGCACAAUGGGCGCAAGCCUGAUGCAGCCAUGCCGCGUGUGUGAAGAAGGCCUUCGGGUUGUAAAGCACUUUCAGCGAGGAGGAAGGUGGUGAGCUUAAUACGUUCAUCAAUUGACGUUACUCGCAGAAGAAGCACCGGCUAACUCCGUGCCAGCAGCCGCGGUAAUACGGAGGGUGCAAGCGUUAAUCGGAAUUACUGGGCGUAAAGCGCACGCAGGCGGUUUGUUAAGUCAGAUGUGAAAUCCCCGGGCUCAACCUGGGAACUGCAUUUGAAACUGGCAAGCUAGAGUCUCGUAGAGGGGGGUAGAAUUCCAGGUGUAGCGGUGAAAUGCGUAGAGAUCUGGAGGAAUACCGGUGGCGAAGGCGGCCCCCUGGACGAAGACUGACGCUCAGGUGCGAAAGCGUGGGGAGCAAAC